rnacentral:lncRNA from 1 species
CAAUUAAAGUUUUUCUAGAGAUAAUUGUAUUUUCAGGAAAAUGUGUAAUGAGCUGGAUAAACAACAGGAGGAAGUGUAAAGCUAAUAAAUGUCCCGCUGUGAUAAAACCCAGGGCUUGUGUGAGAAAACCAGGCCUGUUUGGCACAGAGAUGGGGAGAGGGUGUGGAGAGGAGCCCACGGAAAGAGGAUGGCUCAGUGCAGGCUCCUGUGAGCAUUUGGUUCAGAAAAGCUUCAGAAAUGAUCGAUGGCUCCUUCCACAGCCAUCUCCAUUUUUGGUAACGUCUGUGGAGUCUGCAGAAGGAGCUGGCCCUGAUUGAAAUGGAAAAACCUCCUUCCACUCCGGGAAGCUGCACUUAUAUUCCUCCAGGAGAAAACAGUGAUCAAGCAGCGGCAUGCAGCUGUGAGCCCCCCAGGACGUGCACUGCUGUAACUGCUCAUUUUUUAGAAGCACCUGACAGUCGAUGUGUGGCUGGGAAUAGCACAUGCCUCUGUUAUGCUAUGGGCUGGUCAAACAUCUCAGAAGAAAUAGUCUGCCUCAAAUGGAUGGUGCAGCUGAAGGCUGGGGCCUGAAAGCUGGCUGGAAAUUGCUGCUUUCUUCCCGUACAGCUCUGCCUGGGUAUCUGUCAUCGUUUACACCAGCUCUUCAAAAAGCCAGCCUCUAAAGCCUGUAUUCGUUAUGGAUAGCGCUCCACAAAAGCUGCAGUGAAAUUAUCAGCACUGGUCUUGGCCAGGACUCUGCGCGCUGCAGCACGAGGUGAUGGGAACCAGGCUGAAAUUCUGGCUCGUUGGAGUCGGUGGGACUUUUGCCAUCGAUUUAAUGGGAGCCAGAAUUUCCUGCCACUGACAGUGUUAGAAGCAGGCAUUGAUCCAAGGACAUGAAUUCAGAAGUUUGCUACAGCCUUUAUUUUAGCAGCACGGCCCAGGUUUGCUGCUGCAGGAGCGCACUUGGUGCUGGUGUGGCUUCCAGUUAGAGGAAGGGGCAGUGGCAGGAGCUGGUGGCCCUGCCCAGGAGGAUGGCAUAGCAGUGCCAUUUACAAAGCUGUCUUCAUAUUUGGAUUUGCAGCUGGAGGCUGUGUUUAUUUGUGGUGGAGCUUUCUGCUCUUUGGAGAUGGAGGGCCUCCGAACAGCAGCGUGCGUUGUAUGCUCCUGACACCCUUUGACGAGAAACCAUAACAUAUUAACUACAAAUCUGCCUGCAGAAUGUUUAUUCAUGUUAAUAAAUUAUGCUGGAGAAUAAAUAGAUGAUAAAUU